GCCGCCUCCUGAAUAAAAGCCGACCACCGGAUGAUAUAAAGGAGAAGCAGUGUGCUGAGAGCGGGGCAAGGAGAAGCUCAAAUGGACGACCAGGAUGGAUUUUGUGGCGAGGAUGCGGCGAUGGUUACCGUCCAUUUAUCUGGAGAAGUUCCUGAUCUCUCAUCGAACGUCCACCAUCUUCCUUGUUGCAUAAAGCACACUGGCCCAUGCCCUGUGUCUCACUACUUCAAGCCCAAGCGCACAGGUGUGGUGGUUGAUGAUCUAAGAGUUGAGGAAGCUGCAUUUAGGGGGAGGAAAUUGCUUGGAACCACACUCACUAUCCCACAUGGCUAUUCUGGCUAUGUCUUGGAAAUGCAUAAUGGGCAGAAAGAGAAAGCUCCAAAGAAUGAAGGAGAGUCGAAUUGCUGGAAGGCACGUGCCACAUUUCAAAACUUUACAUAUUGGAAUCAUGACAGCUUGCCUUCACAGGAUGAUGCAUUUGUUCGUUGUUUCCAUUGGUUUCCUGUAGCCAAUGCUUUGCACAAGCCUGUUGAACCCGAUGAGUUGGCUUCUGCUACUCGAGAAAGCCAAGUAGAGGGUGCACAAACAUCCAAGGACAAGUGACUUAUAACUACAGUAAUUUCUUGCGUCAACUUUAAGCCUUGGGGUGUCUCAUCGUAUUUUUGCGACUUGUAGCAAGUCUGAGGAGAUGCACCUUCGUAUGGAUGCCAUCGAAUAAAGGAUGUGACCACUUGAUAUGAGUGCCACACUCAAGGCAUCCAAGCCUUCUUUUUCUUUUUCAAAGUCUAUUUUGGUGGGUUUGAUGGGAUUUGAACCUUCGAGGUGGUUUUGUCGCCCUCAUAGUAAGGGCAACGAAGCUUGUGCCGACAUGUUUACAUUGUGCUCACACUCUUAUGGCAUGAAAGCUUUCUGAUGAUUGGUUUUUAUGACCAUGAUCAGAAAGACAACAUAAAUUCCUUGCUUUUUAUCAGCCAUUCAAGCUUUUUGCUUUCUGGUUUCCAUGGCCAUAAUAAGAUUGUUAACUCAGAUUUGUUGCUUGGACCAUUAACUAUGUAAACUUUACAUUAAUGAAAGAUAAUGACGACAAAAGCACUAUGUUUUUAUGCGA